rnacentral:rRNA from 1 species
AAAAAGUAGAAUUUGCUCCAUGUGUAAAUGCAUAAAUAGCCGCGGUAUACUGACCGUGCAAAGGUAGCAUAGUAAUUUGUCUUUUUAUUGGAGGCUUGGAUAAACGAGUUAACGUCCCUUUUACUAUCAUGUAAUUAUUUACCUAGAACUUAAUAUUUAUGUCAAAAAACUUAAAUGUUUGAGAAGACGACAAGACCCUGUGAAGCUUUAAUCUCCUGUUAAUUAUUAAAUUUAGAAAUUUGUUAGUUAUAAGAUGAUUAAGCUGGGGCGGCUUCUAAAUAACAUUAAAAAUUAAAACUUUUUUAGAAAAGAUAGACCUUAAAAAAAAAUUAGAAAAAGUUACUCCAGGGAUAACAGCAUAAUUUUUUUUUAAAGAUCUUAUUGAAAAAAAAGACUUAUGACCUCGAUGUUGAAUUGAGGGGCCUUAUUUAAGCAAAAAUAAAUACAGGGAGUCUGUUCGACUUUUAAUUCCUC